GGGGGUGUAGAUCAGUGGUACAGCAUGUACUUAGCAUGCUAAAGGCCCUGGGUUCAAUCCACAGCCCCCCCC
rnacentral:tRNA from 1 species